CAUUGAAUGGCUGAAUUUUAAGCAAUGGUCUCUUAAACCAAACUAUAGUAUUAUACUUUCAAUGA
rnacentral:tRNA from 1 species